rnacentral:tRNA from 1 species
AUUCAAAUAGCUUAUAAUUAGAGUAUAACAUUGAAGCUGUUAAGGAGAUUUAUAAAAUCUUUGAAUA